CCUACGGGGGGCUGCAGUGAGGAAUAUUGGACAAUGGGCGAAAGCCUGAUCCAGCCAUGCCGCGUGAAUGAUGAAGGCCUUCGGGUUGUAAAGUUCUUUCGGCGCAGAAUAUAAUGAAUGUAUGCGCAGAAGAAGCCCCGGCUAAAUUCGUGCCAGCAGCCGCGGUAAUACGAAUGGGGCAAGCGUUGUUCGGAAUCACUGGGCGUAAAGCGUGCGUAGGCUGUUUGACAAGUCAGAAGUGAAAGCCCAGGGCUUAACCCUGGAAUUGCUUUUGA
rnacentral:rRNA from 1 species